rnacentral:rRNA from 1 species
UACGGGAGGCAGCAGUGGGGAAUAUUGCACAAUGGGCGCAAGCCUGAUGUAGCCAUGCCGCGUGUAUGAAGAAGGCCUUCGGGUUGUAAAGUACUUUUCAGUCGUGAGGAAGGUGUUAAGGUUAAUAACCUUAGCAAUUGACGUUAGCGACAGAAGAAGCACCGGCUAACUCCGUGCCAGCAGCCGCGGUAAUACGGAGGGUGCGAGCGUUAAUCGGAAUUACUGGGCGUAAAGGGCACGCAGGCGGUUAAUUAAGUUGGAUGUGAAAUCCCCGGGCUUAACCUGGGAAUGGCAUUCAAGACUGGUUAGCUAGAGUCUUGUAGAGGGGGGUAGAAUUCCAUGUGUAGCGGUGAAAUGCGUAGAGAUGUGGAGGAAUACCGGUGGCGAAGGCGGCCCCUGGACAAAGACUGACGCUCAUGUGCGAAAGCGUGGGGAGCAAACAGGGAUUAGAUACC